GCUACGUUCGGAACUGAUAACCGCUGAAAGCAUCUAAGCGGGAAGCAGGCUUUGAGAUGAGUUCUCACUGGAGCUUUAAGCUCCCUAAAGGGUCGUUGGAGACUACAACGUUGAUAGGUUGGGUGUGGAAGUGCUGCGAGGCAUUGAGCUAACCAAUACUAAUUACCCGUGAGGCUUAACCAUACAACACCCAAGUGGUUUUAAG
rnacentral:rRNA from 1 species